AUGGCAGCAGACAACUCUCCUUUCAGGCCAAACUCAGACUUUCAUGUUGACACCCAGCCUGCCCAAGCUGAUACACCACCAUCUCAUCCCAAUGUGGAAGGACCCAGACAGAGCUGUCCCCCUGACCAGUCAGGACUCGGACCGGCAGCAAGUCCUGUUGCUCCAGUUCUGCCCAAAUCUGAGAGGGGUGCUGCCAAAGAUGGACCUGAGGAUCCAGUGACGAGUGCGCUGACAAAUCCUAACAGGAACCCAGCUCCUGGCAUCUGUGGGAGCAAUCAAGCCUGCACCUCAUUUGACGUGGGUGAGCUGUCUAGUGCAGACAAAAGCAGCAGCAGCAGCAGCAGCAGCAUCAGCAGUAUGGUCCACUGCAGUGGAGGGCUAUCUGUGCCUGAGACCAGCUCUGUUUACGAUGUUGGGAAUGACCCUGGGGCUGGAGGAAUAGGGGAGGUGGGAGUGCAGCAGACGCUGUGUACCCCCGAGGCAAGACGACCCCAGUCACCAGAUAAGGACUCAGACAGUCAGGCAGUCGCUCCUGCACAGGGCCCAGUCUGCACAGAGCCCCAGCCCCAGACCCCAGGGGCCCAAGCCACGCCACAGAGUGCUUCCACCUUCCAAAGGGCAGGUGAGAGUGACACCGUCGCUUCAGCCUGUAAAGCAGAUCAGGCUAGCCAGUUAGGCAGUGAUGGGCCUGCCGAGGUCGCUGCUCACACGCAGCUGAGCAACACCGCCGAUGUUCCACAAGGUCCAGACCCACCCACUUCACAAUCACAAUCACAACACCCAGCUGAAUCAAGCUCCUCACAAUAUGUGGACCAACCACAGAAUUACCUCUGCCAUCUUGGUCUGCAGAUCAGUGACGGCCUAAGCAUCUGUGUCCCGGAGACACACGUUCUUCAUACCCAGAAUGUGGAAUGUUCACCUGCGACCGUAGAGAGAGCGGAAGCAGUCCAAGGGGUCGACCCCGAGAAGCACACUCCAACUGUAACCGCAGACGCUAAACGCAGCUAUGUCUCAGCUAACAUGGGCUCGCCUGAAUUAUUCCCUCCAACAUCCUCUGCCGCGGAAGCAGACCCACCGCAGGUAACUAGGCCUUCUGAGGAACCAUGUUCCAGUGACGGCAAACCGGACCAGGGCAACAUCCCGGCGGGCGCUUCAGUCACACCCCAAACGUCAAGCGCAAACCCAGCAAGGAGGGGCGAUGAGAGGUCACCCUCUCAAGCGUCAGGCCCUUCCAGCGCCCCAGGGACGAAGACACAGAGGUCCUCCUUUGUGUGGGGCGCGCCGGCUAAAAGCCCCCAGCCGAUGAGUUCACACGGCGCGGAGGGCUCUCCUGGUGUCACUCAAGGCAGCCCUGUCUGCACCAUGUCCGUGGCAGCUCCAGGGUCCGCCGGGUCAGAGCGCCGAUCCUCAACACCACAGAGAUUCCAGGAGAUUUCCUCUGCCUUCUCUGCCUCUAUCUUUCAGCGAGACAGACUUAACAAAAGAGGUGAGUGUCUGAGAUGUGGCCGUCAUCGUGUUAUCUUGGCUGUGUGCGUGUGUGCGUGUGUGUGUGUGUGUGUGUGUGUGUGUGUGUGUGUGUGUGUGUGUGUGUGUGUGCGUGCGUGCGUGCGUGCGUGCGUGCGUGCGUGCGUGCGUGCGUGCGUGCGUGUGUGUGUGUGUGACUGUGCUUUACUUUCCUUUAUCAUCAUUUUAAAGGAAUAG
rnacentral:lncRNA from 1 species